AUUUGCUUAAGCAUUCAAUCCGCUCGAUCAUGUACAAUACAUGAUUAGUGACUGAUGCCCCCUCUCGCAUACGAGCAUUGAACACAGUGCAGAAGAUUUUAUAUCUCUCCGCAUCCUCAAAGGUGCCGAAGGACUCAUUCAACAUUUGAAUCAUAUCCUCUAGUUAUGCAUCCUCGAACUUACGACUAAGUUUGUCAUUCAUGACUGCCCUCAUAAUGCAAUGCACCAUCGGACGAUCACUGAGCCACUUCAAAUAAGUGUCUCUCAUAGCAUGGGGUACAUUGGUAGCAGAUUCUUCAGGUGGUAGUCCGUAAGCACGUAUAGGAUCCUCUCAUGCUCCAGAACGAUCUUCAACUUUCAAUAUCAGCUAUCGAAGUUAGGUUCGGUAAGCUUGUCGCUGUCCAACAUCGAAUAGAGCGAUAGUAUGUUGGCCAUAGCUGAAAAGAAGAAAUAUAAACCUAUUAGUAUAUGAAUUAUUUUAAUUUUAAAGACAUGAACUUUAGUCUAAAGGUUCUCUUACUAUUUUAUACGAAUUGGUGGCCUCUACCUUCAAUUCGAGGUAUUACAUUAAUUUCUUAGCGGAUACUAGAAUCCACACAGACUGCAUUCGAGUCCGAGUGUGGCUCGGCCAACCCUAGUACAUCCUUGGGUGGGUUCAUAACUAAUUAUUUUUCUAAAUAACUUCUAGCAAUUAGGUUUUGCCUCAAACAUCUCUUUUGUAGGCAUGUAGUGUCUCCACUGAAAAUCCUAGUUAGGUCCAAUCAUUAACAUGACUACACCAAGCGCAUCCAACAAAUGAAUAUCCAGGCUUAAGUGUGGCUCGACC
rnacentral:lncRNA from 1 species